rnacentral:rRNA from 1 species
UACGGAGGGGGCUAGCGUUGUUCGGAAUUACUGGGCGUAAAGCGCACGUAGGCGGCGAUUUAAGUCAGAGGUGAAAGCCCGGGGCUCAACCCCGGAACAGCCUUUGAGACUGGAUUGCUUGAACAUCGGAGAGGUGAGUGGAAUUCCGAGUGUAGAGGUGAAAUUCGUAGAUAUUCGGAAGAACACCAGUGGCGAAGGCGGCUCACUGGACGAUUGUUGACGCUGAGGUGCGAAAGCGUGGGGAGCAAAC